GACGGAGGGUGCGAGCGUUGUCCGGAAUUACUGGGCGUAAAGAGCUCGUAGGUGGUUUGUCGCGUCGUGCGUGAAAACUCACAGCUCAACUGUGGGCGUGCGGGCGAUACGGGCAGACUGGAGUACUGCAGGGGAGACUGGAAUUCCUGGUGUAGCGGUGGAAUGCGCAGAUAUCAGGAGGAACACCGGUGGCGAAGGCGGGUCUCUGGGCAGUAACUGACGCUGAGGAGCGAAAGCGUGGGGAGCGAACAGG
rnacentral:rRNA from 1 species